rnacentral:lncRNA from 10 species
CAAAGCUUCAUCUGUAUUUACAGCCACUCCCCAUUGCUCACAUUACCACCUGAUCUCAGUCUCCUGUCAGAUCAGUGGCAGCAUUAGAUUCUCACUUAUAGAAACAGAAACCCUACUGUGAACUGUGCAUGUGAGUGAUGUAGGUUGUGCAUUCCUAUGAGAAUCGAAGGCCUGACUGUCACUCUCUCCUAUCAACCCCAGAUGGGACCAUUUAGUUGCAGGAAAACAAGCUCAGGGUUCCCAUCAAUUCGACAUCGUGAUUUCUUUUCCACUUACCUACACGAUAGGACAUUUAGAGCCAGUUGUUGAAGUCUAAUGGAUUGACUGAGAUUGUUCCAUCUUACUCUUUUUAGAGGCAAAUAAAGAGGAUCAAUCAAACUUCUAAUCUUGAAUUCUGCAUUUGCAUAAAGAACUCUGGGGAGUAUCGUCCACUUUCAAUAGCAGGAGGUAUGAACUUAUUUUCACAAUAAUCAGAUGACAGGCAGAGAAGCUGGAUUCUCUUUGAACUACAGGCUGAAUUCUUGAUGGAGAACAGGAGUCCAUCAAGAAAGCAAAACCAUUCUGAUCAUUAAAAAGAAAUGGAUCGGGAACAGCUGAAAGUUGCAUGUGGAAAUCAGGAAGUUUCAGGACUCUCUGGAACUUAGUAAAAACGACCUCACCAUGAUGCUUUUGAAAAACAUGUCUUCUCUGGAGGCACAGUACUUUCUUCUACUGGUUUCUACUUUUGGAAGUAUCUAAAAUCUUUGAAGUCCUUCUUGAAAGUCUAGGAAAUGAAGUUCCCAGGGUUCCUGGUUCUCUAACAUGAAGAAAACAGAAGGGAGUGGAGAUGAGUGCUGGUUGUCAAAAGAAAACGAAAGCUCGAUACCCAGCACACUUGAAUUCAGGGGUCAUCACUCUGGUUCAUAGAUUAAACUGGCGCCAGGUUUAUGAUUAUUACUAAUUCGGACAAGCCUUGUCGGCUGCAUUCAAUUCCCUCACCACACAAAGUCAAUAGAUUCUGCACAGUUUCACUGAUAUUUUUUCAAAAUUGGCGAUUGCCCUCAGGACAAAAGGGAGAUGGGUGGGCCCUACACUUGGUUUUUGUCUUCUUUGAGGUUUGUUUCCAUAAUUUUGCAUGACCUGUAGCUCUUUGAUGCUUUUAACAUUUUUUAAAAAGCUUUCCUCAAUGAGAAUGCUGAGGUGAAUCAUCUGUUUUUAUAAGUAGUGAGAAUCCUGCAUUCUCUUUUUUCAGAGUUAAAAUAUUAUCUACUAUAGUAAGGAGAAAGUAUGAUCUACUAUAGUAAGUAGAAAGUAUGAUCACCUUCUCUAAUUCUCUCCAACAGGUGAAAAUGAACAGAACAUGAAGUUUAUGCCAUUAUGUACAUUUUGAAUUUAAGAGCGUCCACUGAGGUUUUAAUACACUCUGGAAAAAUUAAAGACUUUUGUUUUAGCGAGCUCAA